AGCAGAGAGCAGAGCAGCAGAAAAUCAAAAUCAGAAAAACAAGUGAAAUCAAGGAGUAAAACCGUCCUUUUAGCUAUCGCUUUGGUUCGUUAGAACUGUGUUUGUUAGAAACUUUAUUACUGAAGAAGUCUUGGACGUUGAAACAAAGUUGGAGCUGUUUUCGUCGACCACGAGGGAAGCUGGACGCUGAGCGCACCUGCGGUGCUAAGUUCCACCCUGUAAAGACAGACGAGGUUAAUCUGAGCCUGAGAGCUGGAGACAGAGAUGUGACACCUGACAGGAGCCAUGUUUACUCCUACUUCACCUCCAGGACUCAGAGUUGAAGCAGGAAACAGUUGGAGUGACAGAGAGAAGAGACAGACAUGAAGAUUUCCACAAGGACUCAGAGUUGAAGCAGGAAACAGUUGGAGUGACAGAGAGAAGAGACAGACAUGAAGAUUUCCACAAGCUCCACCUCUUCACGCCUGAUGACAUCAUCUUCAUCUUCAUCUCCUCCUCCUCCUCCUCCUCCUGCAGAGACAACAACAUGUUUAUUAGUACUACUGCUACAAUUAAUUAGUACUGUCACCACUAUUAAUUACUAUAUUAAGCACCAUUAGUAACUACAAUUAGUUGUAAUUAAGUACUAUUUAUACUUUUAGGUGGUACCAUUAA